UCCGGCCACUCUCCUGCCUGGGCUGCUGCUCAACGGGGGCUGGGGGUGUGUGGGGCGGGGGUGGUCUGUCCAGUGAUUCAGCCACAUGUGAUAGAUGACCAAGUGACUGCUUUCUUGGAGUCCGCACACCAGUGGAAGACUCUCAAAGUGGUUGUGACCGACUUGAUCAAACUCUAGGCUUCCUGAACUGGUAACUGUCACUUUAAUAUAGGUUACUGAUUAAACUCAGAAAAAUGCAGCUUAAAAUCUUUGCCAGGAACUUGUGUGGACUUAUUCCCUGUUCCCCCCCCCACCCCCCUUGUUCUGAUUUGUUUUGUCACAGGAAUGAAAUGCAGAUAACUCUUUAGAAAACUUUUGUAGGAAAAGCGCCUCGUGUGAUCUGGAACAAAGACGUUUUAUAAUCAGAUUUAUCAAGCUGCGAAGAGGGAGUUUUAGUGAACGGAAGCAGCAGCAUUCUGUCACCAGGAAAUACUCCUUUAUCCAGAAUUGGAGGUAUAAACCAGUGGAGUUUAUCAUUGAAUAGAGUGCAGAGAAAGGACCGCAAGAAAGCUGAUCACCUCAGCAAUGAAUGAUUUCAAUACGAUUUCACCCAAAUGGUCUCACACACCAGCCUAGUAAACCAGAGAUAAGGUGUAAUGUCAUCCUUCCUUCCUUCUCCCUGCCUCAACUGUCAAAGAUUGACAACUUACAUGUUGUUUACUUUUUGGCUUCUAUUUCUGUUCAUAAUUAUUAUCAGAAGGCAUAGCACCCACAAGCCUAAUCAUACUGCCUUACAACCUUAUUCCUCUUCAUUUUGUCUUCUCACUUACCUGCAGAAACCCAGUUUAUUUUUGUUCUCCCUUUACCACACCAGCCUUGUAACUGUUAUGAAUGACCCUCAAUCUCACUGGAAUCUGAAUCACUCAGGAAUUCAAGCAAACUGGAUGUUUUAACCACUGUUCAGCUUUCUUAUGGAAUGACAGAGAACUUGUAAAGAUAAAACACCAGUUUGCAGGAAGAAAGGAAGAGAAUGGAAAUUGCUUCUGGAAAAUACUAGUUUUACAAUAUGUUUUGUUUGUCUGCUCUCUUAAAUAAACUUAAUCCUAUAAACAUUUUUUAAGAACUAGCCAUUAAGACUGUUAAGUUCUCAAUUAUAAAGGAAUAAAAUGUUUUAAGGAGGAUUUAUUUGCCCUUGCUUAUAUGAACUGCAUAUUUUUAGUAGGAAAUCAUGUAAUUUAAAUUAGUAUUGGUUAACAGAUUUAACGUAGAAAAUGGACAUAUAAAGAAUACAAGGAUAAAUGUCUACAUGUAAUAAUGGAUGGUAGUGAUAUAAUGCAUUUUUGUCAUCCCAUGCUGAAUUCAGUAAAAAUAAAGCUAAUGACUUGGAGCUUUUAAAAGAU
ensembl:lncRNA MIR222HG miR222/221 cluster host gene